rnacentral:rRNA from 1 species
GAAUGCUUGGNAAUCUACCGUGUAGUGGGGGAUAACGUUUCGAAAGGAACGCUAAUACCGCAUACGUCCUACGGGAGAAAGGGGGGGAUCUUCGGACCUCUCGCUAUACGAUGAGCCCAAGUCGGAUUAGCUAGUUGGUGGGGUAAAGGCCUACCAAGGCGACGAUCCGUAGCUGGUCUGAGAGGAUGAUCAGCCACACUGGAACUGAGACACGGUCCAGACUCCUACGGGAGGCAGCAGUGGGGAAUAUUGGACAAUGGGGGCAACCCUGAUCCAGCCAUGCCGCGUGUGUGAAGAAGGCCUUCGGGUUGUAAAGCACUUUAAGCGGGGAGGAAGGGCGCCUGGAUAAUACCUGGGUGCAUUGACGUUACCCGCAGAAUAAGCACCGGCUAACUCUGUGCCAGCAGCCGCGGUAAUACAGAGGGUGCAAGCGCUAAUCGGAAUUACUGGGCGUAAAGCGCGCGUAGGCGGUUAUGCAAGUUGGAGGUGAAAUCCCCGGGCUCAACCUGGGCACUGCCUUCAAAACUGCAUGGCUAGAGUAUGGGAGAGGAAGGUAGAAUUCCAGGUGUAGCGGUGAAAUGCGUAGAGAUCUGGAGGAAUACCGAUGGCGAAGGCAGCCUUCUGGCCUAAUACUGACGCUGAGGUGCGAAAGCAUGGGGAGCAAACAGGAUUAGAUACCCUGGUAGUCCAUGCCGUAAACGAUGUCAACUAGU